rnacentral:rRNA from 1 species
GACGAACUUUGGCGGCGUGCUUAACACAUGCAAGUCGAACGGAAAGGCCCUGCUUUUGUGGGGUGCUCGAGUGGCGAACGGGUGAGUAACACGUGAGUAACCUGCCCUUGACUUUGGGAUAACUUCAGGAAACUGGGGCUAAUACCGGAUAGGAGCUCCUGCUGCAUGGUGGGGGUUGGAAAGUUUCGGCGGUUGGGGAUGGACUCGCGGCUUAUCAGCUUGUUGGUGGGGUAGUGGCUUACCAAGGCUUUGACGGGUAGCCGGCCUGAGAGGGUGACCGGCCACAUUGGGACUGAGAUACGGCCCAGACUCCUACGGGAGGCAGCAGUGGGGAAUAUUGCACAAUGGGCGGAAGCCUGAUGCAGCAACGCCGCGUGCGGGAUGACGGCCUUCGGGUUGUAAACCGCUUUCGCCUGUGACGAAGCGUGAGUGACGGUAAUGGGUAAAGAAGCACCGGCUAACUACGUGCCAGCAGCCGCGGUGAUACGUAGGGUGCGAGCGUUGUCCGGAUUUAUUGGGCGUAAAGGGCUCGUAGGUGGUUGAUCGCGUCGGAAGUGUAAUCUUGGGGCUUAACCCUGAGCGUGCUUUCGAUACGGGUUGACUUGAGGAAGGUAGGGGAGAAUGGAAUUCCUGGUGGAGCGGUGGAAUGCGCAGAUAUCAGGAGGAACACCAGUGGCGAAGGCGGUUCUCUGGGCCUUUCCUGACGCUGAGGAGCGAAAGCGUGGGGAGCGAACAGGCUUAGAUACCCUGGUAGUCCACGCUGUAAACGGUGGGUACUAGGUGUGGGGUCCAUUCCACGGGUUCCGUGCCGUAGCUAACGCUUUAAGUACCCCGCCUGGGGAGUACGGCCGCAAGGCUAAAACUCAAAGGAAUUGACGGGGCCCCGCACAAGCGGCGGAGCAUGCGGAUUAAUUCGAUGCAACGCGUAGAACCUUACCUGGGUUUGACAUGGAUCGGGAGUGCUCAGAGAUGGGUGUGCCUCUUUUGGGGUCGGUUCACAGGUGGUGCAUGGCUGUCGUCAGCUCGUGUCGUGAGAUGUUGGGUUAAGUCCCGCAACGAGCGCAACCCUUGUUCACUGUUGCCAGCACGUUAUGGUGGGGACUCAGUGGAGACCGCCGGGGUCAACUCGGAGGAAGGUGGGGAUGACGUCAAGUCAUCAUGCCCCUUAUGUCCAGGGCUUCACGCAUGCUACAAUGGCUGGUACAGAGAGUGGCGAGCCUGUGAGGGUGAGCGAAUCUCGGAAAGCCGGUCUCAGUUCGGAUUGGGGUCUGCAACUCGACCUCAUGAAGUCGGAGUCGCUAGUAAUCGCAGAUCAGCAACGCUGCGGUGAAUACGUUCCAGGGGCU